rnacentral:rRNA from 1 species
AACAAAAACAUAGUUUAAUGUUAUAAUAUUAAAUUAAUCCUGCCCAGUGAUUUUUUUUAACGGCCGCAGUACCUUGACUGUGCUAAGGUAGCAUAAUCAAUUGGCUUUUAAUUAAGGUCUGGAAUGAACGGAUAUAUGAAAAUAAUACUGUCUUUAUAAUAUUUUUGUAAACUUAUUUAUCAGGUGAAAAUACCUGUAUUUAAACAAAAGACGAGAAGACCCUUAGAGUUUUUUAUAAUACCUUUUUGUUUUGUUUUUGUUGGGGCGACAAGUAAUCAUUCUAACAUUACGUAAAAAAUUUGAUUCGAGUUUUUUAAAGAAAAUUAAACUACCUUAGGGAUAACAGCUUUAUAUAUUUAUAUGUUUGUGACCUCGAUGUUGGACUAGGAACUAUAUGGCUAGCAGUCAAAAUAGAUUUGUUCUGUUCGAACAAUUAUAUCC